rnacentral:rRNA from 1 species
UCCGGUGCUUGCAUCGGGGAUUAGUGGCGAACGGGUGAGUAACACGUGAGUAACCUGCCCUUAACUCUGGGAUAAGCCUGGGAAACUGGGUCUAAUACCGGAUAUGACUCCUCAUCGCAUGGUGGGGGGUGGAAAGCUUUUGUGGUUUUGGAUGGACUCGCGGCCUAUCAGCUUGUUGGUGAGGUAAUGGCUCACCAAGGCGACGACGGGUAGCCGGCCUGAGAGGGUGACCGGCCACACUGGGACUGAGACACGGCCCAGACUCCUACGGGAGGCAGCAGUGGGGAAUAUUGCACAAUGGGCGCAAGCCUGAUGCAGCGACGCCGCGUGAGGGAUGACGGCCUUCGGGUUGUAAACCUCUUUCAGUAGGGAAGAAGCGAAAGUGACGGUACCUGCAGAAGAAGCGCCGGCUAACUACGUGCCAGCAGCCGCGGUAAUACGUAGGGCGCAAGCGUUAUCCGGAAUUAUUGGGCGUAAAGAGCUCGUAGGCGGUUUGUCGCGUCUGCCGUGAAAGUCCGGGGCUCAACUCCGGAUCUGCGGUGGGUACGGGCAGACUAGAGUGAUGUAGGGGAGACUGGAAUUCCUGGUGUAGCGGUGAAAUGCGCAGAUAUCAGGAGGAACACCGAUGGCGAAGGCAGGUCUCUGGGCAUUAACUGACGCUGAGGAGCGAAAGCAUGGGGAGCGAACAGGAUUAGAUACCCUGGUAGUCCAUGCCGUAAACGUUGGGCACUAGGUGUGGGGGACAUUCCACGUUUUCCGCGCCGUAGCUAACGCAUUAAGUGCCCCGCCUGGGGAGUACGGCCGCAAGG